rnacentral:rRNA from 1 species
GACGAACGCUGGCGGCGUGCCUAAUACAUGCAAGUUGAGCGAUGAAGAUUGGUGCUUGCACCAAUUUGAAGAGCAGCGAACGGGUGAGUAACGCGUGGGGAAUCUGCCUUUGAGCGGGGGACAACAUUUGGAAACGAAUGCUAAUACCGCAUAACAACUUUAAACAUAAGUUUUAAGUUUGAAAGAUGCAAUUGCAUCACUCAAAGAUGAUCCCGCGUUGUAUUAGCUAGUUGGUGAGGUAAAGGCUCACCAAGGCGAUGAUACAUAGCCGACCUGAGAGGGUGAUCGGCCACAUUGGGACUGAGACACGGCCCAAACUCCUACGGGAGGCAGCAGUAGGGAAUCUUCGGCAAUGGACGAAAGUCUGACCGAGCAACGCCGCGUGAGUGAAGAAGGUUUUCGGAUCGUAAAACUCUGUUGGUAGAGAAGAACGUUGGUGAGAGUGGAAAGCUCAUCAAGUGACGGUAACUACCCAGAAAGGGACGGCUAACUACGUGCCAGCAGCCGCGGUAAUACGUAGGUCCCGAGCGUUGUC